GGGAGUGUAGCUCAAUGUAGAGCGCCUAGUUUACAGACUAGGAGAUGCAGGUCCGAAUCCUGCCACUCCCA
rnacentral:tRNA from 1 species